rnacentral:rRNA from 1 species
UAAGGAAUAUUGGUCAAUGGACGCAAGUCUGAACCAGCCAUGCCGCGUGAAGGAUUAAGGUCCUCUGGAUUGUAAACUUCUUUUAUUUGGGACGAAAAAGGGACUUUUUAGUUCAACUGACGGUACCAGAUGAAUAAGCACCGGCUAACUCCGUGCCAGCAGCCGCGGUAAUACGGAGGGUGCAAGCGUUAUCCGGAUUCACUGGGUUUAAAGGGUGCGUAGGCGGGCGAUUAAGUCAGUGGUGAAAUCCUGGAGCUUAACUCCAGAACUGCCAUUGAUACUACUUGUCUUGAAUAUGGUGGAGGUAAGCGGAAUAUGUCAUGUAGCGGUGAAAUGCUUAGAUAUGACAUAGAACACCUAUUGCGAAGGCAGCUUACUACGCCUAUAUUGACGCUGAGGC